rnacentral:lncRNA from 1 species
UUUUGGCGGGGGCAGCGCCGGCUGCGGAGGGAAACGCUUGGCUCUCCGGGACCGGCGCCUGCCGCGGUGCGGAUGCGUAUGGACGAAUCCUCGUGAAAACAGCUCCCGACGUUUUCCCCCACCCCCCCCAAAAAAAAAAACCAAACCCAAACAAACCACCCACUUGGAUAAUUAAAACGGUUUUUGGCAGUAUCCAGUGUUGCUAAGGAUGAUUUAAUUCCUACUACCGGUCCUAUUCCCAGAGGCAGCUUCUCCAAGGUGGCUCCUGACACAGGAAAUGAAUUCUGCAGCAGAAGAGGAGCACAGGGACGUGUCGCCUCCACUCCCCUUCCAGCAAACUCUUCUGAGACCAAUUCUCCCUCAAAGCUGUCCUGGUGAUUACACAGCAGAAAAAUAAUUCCCCAGUUGUUGGACCAGGGUAACUGCUACAGGUAAA